UACGUAGGGCGCAAGCGUUGUCCGGAAUUAUUGGGCGUAAAGAGCUCGUAGGCGGCCUGUUGCGUCCGCUGUGAAAUCCCGGGGCUCAACCCCGGGCCUGCAUUCGAUACGGGCAGACUAGAGUUCGGUAGGGGAGUCUGGAAUUCCUGGUGUAGCGGUGAAAUGCGCAGAUAUCAGGAGGAACACCGGUGGCGAAGGCGGGUCUCUGGGCCGUAACUGACGCUGAGGAGCGAAAGCGUGGGGAGCGAACAGG
rnacentral:rRNA from 1 species